CUGUUAAUCAUACAUAACCUGUUUUAUGGCUUACCAACUGAAUUUAUCUUGUUCAGUUUAUCUGUUGUAUAUACAGGUUUGACUACCAUCCUUAAGGACAAUAUUUAAGUUUAGGUUCUCCAGAAGGAACACCCUGUGAUGGAAGUGUAUGUGUAAGAUCUCCAUUAGAGGGUACUAUUGGGAGCAACAUCUGAGGAAAAGAGGGUAAAGAAACAGGAUUGGAAAAAGGAGAAGUUGAGUUGCAUUACAGUCCUAAUUAUGCUCAGCAGAUCCUGCAGGGAGUCCAGUUGAGAUGGUUGUUAAGAGUUUUUCCACUUUGGGGCAAGGGGAUUGAGUGUUUUACCUGUAAGUUGAUCUAUCAUUGGAUAGAUCUCUAUCCAAUUGGAUAGAUCUCUAUCAUGUCUCUAUAAGGAGACAUGACUUGAGCAAGCUCAAAGUCAAGGGGCAGAGAAGUACACUCCACCUCUAAUAGAAAAAAAACCUAAAAAAUUGGAAAAGGGAAAAGGCAUGAAUUCAGGGAAGGGUAAUGUGUUGAGGUCAAUCAUUCAUUCUACCACAGUCCACCUUUUUAGCCAUAAAUAUUCAUAUCUUUCUCAAAUAUAAAAUAAGCUUACUACCA